CCUACGGGAGGCAGCAGUGGGGAAUAUUGCACAAUGGGGGAAACCCUGAUGCAGCGACGCCGCGUGAGCGAAGAAGGUUUUCGAAUCGUAAAGCUCUGUCCUAUGAGAAGAUAAUGACGGUAUCAUAGGAGGAAGCCCCGGCUAAAUACGUGCCAGCAGCCGCGGUAAUACGUAUGGGGCGAGCGUUGUCCGGAAUUAUUGGGCGUAAAGGGUACGUAGGCGGCCUUUUAAGUCAGGUGUGAAAGCGUGAGGCUUAACCUCAUUAAGCACUUGAAACUGGAAGGCUUGAGUGAAGGAGAGGAAAGUGGAAUUCCUAGUGUAGCGGUGAAAUGCGUAGAUAUUAGGAGGAAUACCGGUGGCGAAGGCGACUUUCUGGACUUUUACUGACGCUCAGGUACGAAAGCGUGGGGAGCAAACAGGAUUAGAUACCCCAGUAGUC
rnacentral:rRNA from 1 species